GGGCUAGGCGCGGCAGUGCCGCCGGUGUGCGACACAGCCGCACCGGGAGCCCACGGCGGUGGCCGCCCCCCUGGCACGGCGCGCCGUAGGAAAGCCCCGCCAUCGUCGGUCGUCCCCCACUCCCCCUGUGCGGUCUCCUGCACGCCGUGUGCGCAGCUCCUCCUCGAUCCAUCUACAUGCUGUAGCUUGUGCAAGUACUGAUCGGGUGUAGCUUGAUGAGCCUCGCAGGGGCUAUGUGUAGCUUGGUGAGCCUCGCAUGUUUGAAACUGCUAUGCUGCUAGCAAACCGGCUUCUUUAUGGCAGAGAUGACCUAUGCAUAAUGUUUACCUUGGUGAGGUUUAUAGGUUUCCAAAUUCCAACUGUUAUGCUGGCAGGUAAUUAGCAUUGCUUGCUCUGUAUCGCUGCCACCUUUCAAAUCGGAUGCUGAGCUAAACUAAAUUAAAAUCUCCAUGUACAUCUCCAGCCAUUUUUUCUUAUGGAAGGCUAUUUACUUAAUUAAUAUUUUAUAUUUAGCUUACAUGUAUGAGCUGACCUAAAAUAUUUCUCGUUUAUGAGCUCAGCUAGAGCACUUUUCUUAUGACAGGCCAUUUACGUAUAUGAACUAGACUGACCGAGCGUUUCUUAGCAAACUGAUAUUUAUCAUGAUGCGCGGCACUAAUGCAGGAUGUCAAUGAAAAUAUGUUCACUACUCUUUGUGCCUCAGUUCCCCCCUUUUAGCUCAUAAUCUUUGUAGCCGCUAAUACUUUGCUCAAUUAUUCUAUGUAUUUAUCUUAGGUGUCAAGAAAAAAAUAGCCCCACAGCAGUAUGGUUUUCUUCAACAACUUUUCCUUCUACUAUAAAUGAUGAAGAUGGUAGGAUCGGCCAACCUACAUGCUAAAUUUCUACAAUGCACUAUAGAAAAAACCUAGCCUUGCCUAAAUAGAUUGCUCAAACUUACUGCAAGUUAAGAAUUAUAAUUCACAAAUUUUUGACCCAUUAGUUUCCAGAAAGUAUAACCCUAGCCUGCUUGAAUUCUGUAAAUGGUAGUCCAUCCAAAUUUCAGCUCUUCUGUGUGGAGAAACUGUCACCACAGUUGAUAGGUAACACCUCUAAGUGGCAUGCAUAUUGGUUGAUAAACCUGCACAUAAUUAUGCUUCCUGUAUUACUAAUGUUUCCUAUGUAUUGCACUUACUACUUAUUAGCUUGUAAUUUUAUUUGCAGUAUCCCUGUCCAGACAGUUUCUCCACUAAUUUCUUCGCUCCUUGUGUGCAGUGAAUAGCCGUUAUUUCUUAGUGAUACAUUGAACAAACAGUUUCUAGAGAUGUUCUUCUUUUUUAGUAAGAAACUUACUUUGGGCCUUUACCUAUAUUGGUCACCUAUUACACAAAAAUUCUUUUAGCUUAGUGCCAUUUUUUGUCUAGGUACCUGGCUUUUAGGCCUUUAAAUUAUAUCAUCUUAUUUGCUGAUGUGCUACAUGAAAUUGGUAAGACAAUUUUAGGCCUUCCUAGAUAGAGUCUCGUUUGGAACCCUCAGCGCCCUAAUUUGCUUGGUUACUUUUUCUUCGAAAUAAAAGACUCCUGCUCCAAUAUAUGUAAGUGUACACAAAAUAUUCUUUUAUGAUUAUUUGUUGCCUACCUCAUGCAGCAUAGCCAUUGUGGUGUUGUUCAAAAUCAGGUUAUCAGGUGCCUAUUCUUUUCAUCGUGUAUUCUUAGAGAGAUGUAAUACAUAUUAAAAGCAUAUGUUAUAGAUUCAGUUCGUGCCUUCGAAAUCCGACUCUCAAGUCAUCCAUUAUAACAUUUUACUGAAUCUGUGAUCUUUAUUUAUGUGUGAGUCUGUAUAAUUGUUUUUCAAGACUAAAAAAACAUGGCUUUCUUACAUGUUAGUGUGCACUUUAGAUUUCGUUAAGCAUAUGGAUACUCAGAUUCUGAAGGAGUAGCAAUUCUGUUUUUGUUUUGAGCCCAUCGAACUAACAUUGUUCACAAAGUGACAGGACUAAAGUUUAGUUAGGGGUAUCAAACACCCCCUAGCUUGUGCUUUAUGUGUUCCUCACGUCCAAAAGUACCAUCUUCACUGCCAACAGGUGUACAUACACGGCAUGGCGACACUCAUCGCCAACAACCACCAGAGACCAGAAUCGCCAAUAUCUAAAAAAAAUUAUGUGAUCUUUUUGUGCCAUGCUAUCCAAUUUCUGAAAUAUCUAUGUACAACAUGGCCUUGAAACAACACUAAAAUGUAUGUAACAUUCAGUUACCCAACAUACGUAGUAUGUGUCUAUGUACAUAUUACAAUUCUUAAUUUUCAGUCCAUAAAUUACAUAUUCAUUUA